UAUCUAAGGUCAGACAGAAAAUUUCAGUGAGUAUGCAGAGAAUCAGGGCUCAGUAGCCAAUAAGAUCAGUGGAUUUCAAAUGUUCAGGCGGGUUUUCUGAUUUUCUUGAUGUAAACAUGGCAGCCAUGGUGAUUUAACCUUCUGAAGAUUCCUAUUGUUUUGCUGGAUAUAAUCGGGAUCUCUCAUGGUUUGAAGAUGGCUUUUUAUUCAAUGGCGAGGGAGAAAACAAGAUCUGAAAGUAAUAGUUGGGAGCAUAUAAAGCAGACCUUACCCUCAUAGAUUUUGUGACGUCAUAGUUGCUGGACAGAAUACAUUUGGAUCUGACUGGGAAAAAAGGCAUCAUCAAUCCAGCAAGUUGAGUCUGUGUUAAUAACCAUGGACAUAAAACUCACAGACGAUUCCAAAAACACUUUAACUUUUCUUUGUAGACUUAGUGUCUCUUCAUUUCAUGAUAAAUUUAUAUUGCAGAUUAUAUCAUUAUAAUCAGUUUAUUGAUUUUAAAAUCACAAAAAAAUAAAAUCAU